rnacentral:rRNA from 1 species
UUCGGGUUGUAAACCUCUUUCAGCACAGACGAAGCGUAAGUGACGGUAUGUGCAGAAGAAGCACCGGCCAACUACGUGCCAGCAGCCGCGGUAAUACGUAGGGUGCGAGCGUUGUCCGGAAUUACUGGGCGUAAAGAGCUCGUAGGUGGUUUGUCGCGUUGUUCGUGAAAACUCACAGCUUAACUGUGGGCGUGCGGGCGAUACGGGCAGACUGGAGUACUGCAGGGGAGACUGGAAUUCCUGGUGUAGCGGUGGAAUGCGCAGAUAUCAGGAGGAACACCGGUGGCGAAGGCGGGUCUCUGGGCAGUAACUGACGCUGAGGAGCGAAAGCGUGGGGAGCGAACAGGAUUAGAUACCCUGGUAGUCCACGCCGUAAACGGUGGGUACUAGGUGUGGGUUUCCUUCCUUGGGAUCCGUGCCGUAGCUAACGCAUUAAGUACCCCGCCUGGGGAGUACGGCCGCAAGGCUAAAACUCAAAGGAAUUGACGGGGGCCCGCACAAGCGGCGGAGCAUGUGGAUUAAUUCGAUGCAACGCGAAGAACCUUACCUGGGUUUGACAUGCACAGGACGCUGGUAGAGAUAUCA